GAACGCGGAAUGCUUGGAAACUGGCACGUUCCGUGUGGAGCAGGGGAAAAGCCGGAGAUAACUUCAAACGCUUACCUUAAU
rnacentral:ncRNA from 1 species